rnacentral:rRNA from 1 species
UACGUAGGGUGCAAGCGUUAAUCGGAAUUACUGGGCGUAAAGCGUGCGCAGGCGGUUGUGCAAGACAGAUGUGAAAUCCCCGGGCUCAACCUGGGAAUUGCAUUUGUGAACUGCACGGCUAGAGUGUGUCAGAGGGGGGUAGAAUUCCACGUGUAGCAGUGAAAUGCGUAGAGAUGUGGAGGAAUACCGAUGGCGAAGGCAGCCCCCUGGGAUAACACUGACGCUCAUGCACGAAAGCGUGGGGAGCAAACAGG